GGGCUUAUGGCCAAAUGGGAAGGCGCCUGACUACGGAUCAGGAGAUUCCAGGUUCGAUCCCUGGUAAGCUCG